rnacentral:rRNA from 1 species
UACGAAGGGGGCUAGCGUUGUUCGGAAUCACUGGGCGUAAAGCGCACGUAGGCGGAUUGUCAAGUCGGGGGUGAAAUCCUGAGGCUCAACCUCAGAACUGCCUUCGAUACUGGCAAUCUCGAGUCCGGAAGAGGUUGGUGGAACAGCUAGUGUAGAGGUGAAAUUCGUAGAUAUUAGCUAGAACACCAGUGGCGAAGGCGGCCAACUGGUCCGGUACUGACGCUGAGGUGCGAAAGCGUGGGGAGCGAACCGG